AUUGAACGCUGGCGGCAGGUCUAACACAUGCAAGUCGAGCGGAGCGGCGGACGGGUGAGUAAUGCCUAGGAAUCUGCCUGGUAGUGGUGGAUAACGUCCGGAAACGGGCGCUAAUACCGCAUACUAUCAGAUGAGCCUAGGGCGGAGUAGCUAGUUGGUGGGGUAAAGGCCUACCAAGGCGACGAUCCUUAACUGGCCUGAGAGGAUGAUCAGUCAUACUGUAACUGAGACACGUUCCAGGCUCCUACGGGAGGCAGCAGUGGGGAAUAUUGGACAAUGGGCGAAAGCCUGAUCCAGCGAUGCCGCGUGUGUGAAGAAGGUCUUCGGAUUGUAAAGCACGUUAAGUUGGGAGGCGUUACCAACAGAAUAAGCACCGACUAACUUCGUGCCAGCCGCCGCGGUAAUAC
rnacentral:rRNA from 1 species